GCCUACACAUGCAAGUCGAGCGGUAGCACAGAGAGCUUGCUCUCGGGUGACGAGCGGCGGACGGGUGAGUAAUGUCUGGGAAACUGCCUGAUGGAGGGGGAUAACUACUGGAAACGGUAGCUAAUACCGCAUAACGUCGCAAGACCAAAGUGGGGGACCUUCGGGCCUCAUGCCAUCAGAUGUGCCCAGAUGGGAUUAGCUAGUAGGUGGGGUAACGGCUCACCUAGGCGACGAUCCCUAGCUGGUCUGAGAGGAUGACCAGCCACACUGGAACUGAGACACGGUCCAGACUCCUACGGGAGGCAGCAGUGGGGAAUAUUGCACAAUGGGCGCAAGCCUGAUGCAGCCAUGCCGCGUGUGUGAAGAAGGCCUUCGGGUUGUAAAGCACUUUCAGCGGGGAGGAAGGCGGUGAGGUUAAUAACCUUGUCGAUUGACGUUACCCGCAGAAGAAGCACCGGCUAACUCCGUGCCAGCAGCCGCGGUAAUACGGAGGGUGCAAGCGUUAAUCGGAAUUACUGGGCGUAAAGCGCACGCAGGCGGUCUGUCAAGUCGGAUGUGAAAUCCCCGGGCUCAACCUGGGAACUGCAUUCGAAACUGGCAGGCUAGAGUCUUGUA
rnacentral:rRNA from 1 species